CCUACGGGUGGCAGCAGUGGGGAAUAUUGCACAAUGGGCGCAAGCCUGAUGCAGCCAUGCCGCGUGUGUGAAGAAGGCCUUCGGGUUGUAAAGCACUUUCAGCGGGGAGGAAGGCGGUGAGGUUAAUAACCUCAUCGAUUGACGUUACCCGCAGAAGAAGCACCGGCUAACUCCGUGCCAGCAGCCGCGGUAAUACGGAGGGUGCAAGCGUUAAUCGGAAUUACUGGGAGUAAAGCGCACGCAGGCGGUCUGUCAAGUCGGAUGUGAAAUCCCCGGGCUCAACCUGGGAACUGCAUUCGAAACUGGCAGGCUAGAGUCUUGUAGAGGGGGGUAGAAUUCCAGGUGUAGCGGUGAAAUGCGUAGAGAUCUGGAGGAAUACCGGUGGCGAAGGCGGCCCCCUGGACAAAGACUGACGCUCAGGUGCGAAAGCGUGGGGAGCAAACAGGAUUAGAUACCCCGGUAGUC
rnacentral:rRNA from 1 species